ensembl:lncRNA
CGUUGGUCUGGGGGCUGGGCUCAGCCUGCAGCAGUUGUGUCUUUCUGGCCUUGCCUCCUUCCCAUCCAGAGCAGGCCAAGGACAAGACGAGUCUAUUGGAAGCGGGGCUGAACAUGCCUGAGCUGAGCUAUGUCUCUUUGGGGACAUCCUUACUGCUCAUAACACACACCCUUUGCCCUCAGCCUUAUGCAUGGGGCUUUUGGCAAGGAGGGAAUGGAGAAGGUCGGUCUGUUCUGGCCCACGCGCAGCAGCCUAAUUGAUUUAGCAGUUUCUUCAACGAUCAAUCAAACAGACAAACAGGACCCUUCCUUAGCUCUGAGCCAUCUGUAUUUCUUUACUCCUCCAAGCCUCUCUCCAAAAGCAGGGCAAAAAAGUGCUCUGAAGGUGAGGGGAUGAAGAUGUGUCGUUGAAUUAUAGAACUAUGGGAUCACAGGAUCGUGGAAUUAUGAAACCAUAGAACUUUAGAAUGGUUGGGUUAGAAGAGACAUCGAACAUCACAGAACCAUAAAAUGGUUGGGUUGGAAGGGACCUUGAAGAACACAGAGCAAUAGAAUAGUUGGAUUGUCAGGGACAUUGAUGUUUACUCAACCAUAGGAUGACUGUGUUAGUAGGGACUUUGAAGAUGGCAGAACUGUGGAAUGUUUGGAUUGGAAAGGACCUUGGGGAUCAUAGAACCAUAGAAUGUUUGGGUUGGAAGGGUCCUUGAAGAUCACAAAACCACAGAACCAUGUAUUGGUUGGGUUGGAAGGGACCUUCCAGCCUUCCACCCCUACAGGCUGUGGGCUGGUUGCCCUCUCACCAGCUCAAGCCGCCCAGGGCCCCAUUCAUCACACAGGACACCUCCACUGAUGGAGGAGCACCCACACUUCCCAGCAGUGCCAAGGUCUCACCUCUCUCCAUUUGGGAGACGCAUGCUGGCAGCUGAGGUUAUUUUCAAGCAGCAGAAGAGCCCAGAGAGAGGAGUGCUCAGUGCGUUACCAGAGCCAAAGCUGAUAUCCAUUGCCAUGGAGGAAGAGGGCAGUCAGAAGAUCACUGAAGUGGUAAAGUUGGAAAAGACUUUACCAUAGUAAAGUCUUUUAGACUGUCCAGAGGGGUUGUGGAUGCUCCAUCUCUGGAGGAGUUCAAAGCCAGGCUGGAUGGGGCCCUGGGCAGCCUAAGCUGUCAACCAGCCCAUGGCAGGGGGUUGGAACUGGUCUCCCCGAGCCCAAGCCAUUUUAUGACUCUGUGUUUUUGUGUCUCUAAAUCAGUAGCAGGGAGGAGGAAGAAGAAAUACAAGAAAAAGAGUAGUUUUCUGUGUUAAUGUUCAUAGAGCAUCCUUUCCAGCCCGGGUCUUGCUGCUCUUUACUGCAAUGAAAUUUUCCAUCCGUGUCUCACACUGGCCAACAGUUUGGGCACCUAACUCUUACUUCUGCUGCAGGAAUAGCCAAACUGACAUGAAAAGAAAAAGAGUGGAUAAAUAACAAAAACACGAGGUUCUGAAGGCUGGCAGCAUAGCAUAUUGAUUUCUCCAAAUGUUUGCAGACAAUCUGUCCAAGUUUUAAGAGGAAAAGAUGCAAAGGAUGAAAUUCCCCAUUCAAUCCCACAGGGUUUUUCCACCAGGCCCUCUCUUGCACAACCAGCAUCUCUGACAGCUGACACCAAGGACUCGUUUCCUGUUCCCCCAGCGAUCCUGAUGGAUGCUGGCACCAGCCCG